rnacentral:rRNA from 1 species
AGGACGAACGCUGGCGGCGUGCCUAACACAUGCAAGUCCAACGUGAAAGGGGAGCAAUCCCCCGGUAGGGUGGCAAACGGGUGAGUAACACGUGAGCAACCUACCCCGAAGAUUGGGAUAACACCGGGAAACCGAUGCUAAUACCGAAUACCCCCACCGGGUCACAUGGCCUGAUGAGGAAAUGGGUUUCUGCUUCGGGAGGGGCUCGCGGCCUAUCAGCUUGUUGGCAGGGUAAUGGCCUACCAAGGCAACGACGGGGUAGCUGGUCUGAGAGGACGACCAGCCACACUGGGACUGAGACACGGCCCAGACUCCUACGGGAGGCAGC